GACGUAGGGCGCGAGCGUUGUCCGGAUUUAUUGGGCGUAAAGAGCUCGUAGGCGGCUUGUCGCGUCGAAUGUGAAAACUCGGGGCUCAACUCCGAGCUUGCAUUCGAUACGGGCAGGCUAGAGUUCGGUAGGGGAGACUGGAGUUCCUGGUGUAGCGGUGAAAUGCGCAGAUAUCAGGAGGAACACCGGUGGCGAAGGCGGGUCUCUGGGCCGAUACUGACACUGAGAAGCGAAAGCGUGGGGAGCGAACAGG
rnacentral:rRNA from 1 species